rnacentral:rRNA from 1 species
GGUUGCGAUCAUACCAGCACUAAUGCACCGGAUCCCAUCAGAACUCCGCAGUUAAGCGGGCUUGGGCGAGAGUAGUACUAGGAUGGGUGACCCCCUGGGAAGUCCUCGUGUUGCAACCCC